GCAGCGACACUAUGUGUUGUUGGGUAGGGGAGCGUUCUGUAAGCCUGCGAAGGUGACCUGUGAGGGUUGCUGGAGGUAUCAGAAGUGCGAAUGCUGACAUAAGUAACGAUAAAGCGGGUGAAAAGCCCGCUCGCCGGAAGACCAAGGGUUCCUGUCCAACGUUAAUCGGGGCAGGGUGAGUCGACCCCUAAGGCGAGGCCGAAAGGCGUAGUCGAUGGGAAACAGGUUAAUAUUCCUGUACUUGGUGUUACUGCGAAGGGGGGACGGAGAAGGCUAUGUUAGCCGGGCGACGGUUGUCCCGGUUUAAGCAUGUAGGCUGGUUGUCCAGGCAAAUCCGGAUAAUCAAGGCUGAGGUGUGAUGACGAGGCACUACGGUGCUGAAGUAACAAAUGCCCUGCUUCCAGGAAAAGCCUCUAAGCAUCAGGUAACAUUAAAUCGUACCCCAAACCGACACAGGUGGUCAGGUAGAGAAUACCAAGGCGCUUGAGAGAACUCGGGUGAAGGAACUAGGCAAAAUGGUGCCGUAACUUCGGGAGAAGGCACGCUGGUGUGUAGGUGAAGUCCCUGCGGAUGGAGCUGAGACCAGUCGAAGAUACCAGCUGGCUGCAACUGUUUAUUAAAAACAC
rnacentral:rRNA from 1 species